GAGUGAGGAGGCUGGGUGCUGGGGUGGAGGUGGAAGUGUGAGUGGAUACAGCCGAUUACAUCAGCUCCGGGCAAAUUUACUGUGAACCUCUUGCUGUUACAAUGCAGCUGGGCAGGGCAUGUGAGGAGGGGCGUCAUUCUCUCUCUUAACCUGGAGACCUUGUCUGGAGAGACUGACAAAGGUCUCCAGAGAGGGGCCGGAGGUCUCUGCCUGAGGGAUGCCCCAUCCCAACAGGUCUGUUAGGGCUUGAGCUGGAAAGUCAAAGCUCAGCCACACCAGGUUAGAGGUAAGUGGUAACAUCCAGACCUGCCCCAACACCGGAACUUGUUUCUCAUCUCCGACGGGCAACUGAUAUAGGGGCUCAGGGAUCUGCCUCAUUUUCUCUGCUUUUGGGAGUGGAAGGGGACUGUUCUCACCAACAAUGAAACCUCUAACUGCACUGCAGUGGGAAAAAUAGUCCAGCUUGAGAGUGACCACCUAAUGGAAAUUUCCAGCUCGAGACUAUUGUGUGGUCCUGGCUUGGCCAGCAAUGGAUUUACAAAUGGCCAGAACUGAUUUCCAGACACAUGUGAAUACCCCUAGGGAUUCUUAGAAAAAACUGAGAAAAGAAUCCUGGAAGCAAAUCAUUUUUCUACAGCCAGGAAGGGUAUGUUUAUAACCCUGGUUUCCCUUGUACGAGCAGGCGAGUAGGAAUGCAGCAGGAAUUGAGGGGUAGGUUCCUGUCAAGCACCCGUGACUGUCCUUCCAGAGCCACCAGAUGAAGCCUGAAGACAGCGCCGUGAAAAUGGACCAACGAAUUCUGGCCCCCUCACAGAUAUCCUGCUCCUUGACAGAAUAAAUAAUGCAACGGCAGCUAGUACACUAGCUUUCAUUUUAGAGCAGCACAAAAACAUCUGUAGGGGAAAUAAACAAUCCCAUGCCUUUGGCGAAAGAGUUGGACAAAGUGAGUAUGGAAACCAAGUAAUCAAGCUGCCGGCUUGGAGGCGCUGACACACCCAUUCUUCUCUCGCUGCCGGAACAUCACUAAAAUGCAGGCAAGAAAUAAAAAGUGGCUCCAAGCCACGUGGCCAAAGACACCUGAAGAGGAGACGACAGCACACAACUGAUGUCAAUAAAAAUUGAGAGCCAAAAGGUAGAUUGCAGCUGAUUUAGAAGCCCAGGGAGAGCUGAAAUGUAAACUUGCAGCCGAGAGAGCCAAAAAAAAAAACUGUUUCCCCUAAAAGAUCUUGGAAAAACCCAGCUCUUUGAGUUCCAGCCCCCUUAGAAGGCAAGGAAAACAGGAGGACCAGUUGGAAGACUUUGGCAGCUCCUGCCAUGAGAAGCUCGUGGUGGUCUGCUGGGAACGGUUCCUACAACCCUCUGCCCCAUAUCAUGAAGGAAUCGCUUAGCGGGGAAAAGAGUGGAACAAUAACCGAAGUCUCAGAGACUUACUGCUUCCAUUGGGUGGCCUCAUCAUUCACGACUGCCUGAGGAAGUGCAGACAGGAGAACGGGAAAAGGCCACCCAUACUGAAGGGAGGGCGAAUCUCGGGGCUGAUAGUCCUUAUUUGCCUCACACGGCUCCUGGCUUUCACUUGACAUGCUUUUAGGCUCUGCUCAUUCUUUAGUCAUCUCCCCAUCUCUCUUGUCUCGUUGCAUCCAGCCUCUCCCAACCUAUGCACGAUGCUCUGGGCUCUAGCCUUGCCUCUCAGAACUGGCUGCCCCUCCUCCAACUCCUCUUACCCUACUUCCUUCUUUCUUACCUCUUCCUAGCUGUGUCUCUCUGCUCUUUUGGCACCCAAUCACCAAUGUACACUGAAGUAUGUGAUGUGAAUACAAGAGCAUUCUGAAUGUCCUCUUUGUGCACCUCCACAUCCAUCUCCAGGUCUCCUUCGACCCCAGGAACUCCUCACUUCCUUACUCAUGCCAGCAUAACCUAGGAUGUCAUUUCCAAGCAGACAUUCGUCCCAGCCAGAUUGGCUCAACCAACUUGCUUACUUCUGCAUUUGCUAACAUCUACUAGAUGGUUUUUAAAUACAAAAAGACAUCUCCCUAAAGGCCCAUGGUAAGGAUAAAAGUGUUAAUUUGUUAGCAGAGAAUUAGGUACUUUUCAAUGGUAAAGCCCCAAGUCAAGCCAUAAACUAUUUCUCCAUUGCUGUGUAGACAAUAAGGUCUGGGCAAUAAACCCCAUCAACAAACAAGGAGACAGAAGAGCAGAAGGGGAGUUCCUGCCCCUGGAGGGACCUUGCGUGAGUUCAGGAAAAGACCCAGAGAAGCAACAGUCAUUUACAGCAGGCAUCAGAAGAACAUAGAGGUCUUCAUAAAGUCUAACACCAACUGGAACCUAAGAAGCAGACUGCAGUUCAGGAUGGGGACAUAUCAGGGAGGACACGACCCCUGUAACAGGGCUAAAGGAGGAAUCAGCAGACAGUGGGAAGGUUCGGCAGGUCCACCUUCAGAAGAGGACCAAAGUUACCUUUGAGGUUUCCACUCGAGAACCUAGAGGGAGUUAAAAACUAUAUCCAAGGGAUCAAGACAAUAAGAACUUCGUUAAGAUGCUGAGCUACUUACUGCUUCUCCAUCUUGGUAAUUUUUUUUGGUUACUGCUUUCCUUUUUCGAUCAGUAGUCAAGGGCCUUACAAACAAAAAGCUCUUCUGCGGUUGUCUUUGGAGGGUAUUAAUGUGGCAGCUUCUGAAGGAGAAGGGAAGUGGAGCUUCAGCAUGGCGGGCAAAGGAGACAACGGCUGCUGAGUGGGAUCUUAGGGGAAAACCUGGAGCUGCAGUAGAUAAUACAUCUCGGAGUUCCACCAACCUGGUGACAGAGCGUGUGGUUCUGCGACGCCUUUGCUCCAGAGGACGAACGAUGUGACUUUCCCCUUGGGUCUCACCGCCCCUCUGAGGAGCACUGCUUUGGGCUGGAAGAGUGUCCAAAGCCAGUUGGUGGCAUAAAAAUGCUACAAGGCCCAGAGUCCCCUAUCCCUCCCGGCUGUCAGCUGCAUUCCUCUGGCCCUGUUACAAAGCCAUCAAAAAUGCACCUUCAACCUCGGGCUGGGAGGGGUCCGUCCAGGGUCAGGACACACUCUUUAUCUGCAUGGAAAACCUACCGAGUUCAGUGCGUGUCCAGCUCCACAGCAGCCUCUAAGGCUACAAGGGAGCCUUAGAG
ensembl:lncRNA